rnacentral:miRNA from 1 species
UGAGUUCAGGGACAGCGUGUCU